rnacentral:rRNA from 1 species
UUUAAAUGAAGAGUUUGAGCAUGGCUCAGAUGGAACGCUGGCGGCAGGCCUAACACAUGCAAGUCCAACGGUAACA